rnacentral:rRNA from 1 species
UACGGGGGGAGCAAGCGUUGUUCGGAUUUACUGGGCGUAAAGGGCGGGUAGGCGGCCACCGCAAGUCAGUUGUGAAAUCUCCGGGCUUAACCCGGAAAGGUCAACUGAUACUGCGGGGCUAGAGUGCAGAAGGGGCAACUGGAAUUCUCGGUGUAGCGGUGAAAUGCGUAAAUAUCGAGAGGAACACCUGCGGCGAAGGCGGGUUGCUGGGCUGACACUGACGCUGAACUGCGAAAGCUAGGGGAGCGAACGGG